UAUGCCUACGGGGGGCAGCAGUGGGGAAUAUUGGGCAAUGGGCGCAAGCCUGACCCAGCAACGCCGCGUGAAGGAAGAAGGCUUUCGGGUUGUAAACUUCUUUUGUCAGGGACGAAGCAUGUGACGGUACCUGACGAAUAAGCCACGGCUAACUACGUGCCAGCAGCCGCGGUAAUACGUAGGUGGCAAGCGUUAUCCGGAUUUAUUGGGUGUAAAGGGAGCGCAGGCGGCACGGCAAGCCUGAUGUGAAAGCCCGCGGCCCAACCGCGGGACUGCAUUGGGAACUACCGGGCUGGAGUGCCGGG
rnacentral:rRNA from 1 species